AGUGAACGCUGGCGGUAGGCCUAACACAUGCAAGUCGAACGGCAGCACAGUAAGAGCUUGCUCUUACGGGUGGCGAGUGGCGGACGGGUGAGGAAUACAUCGGAAUCUACUUUUUCGUGGGGGAUAACGUAGGGAAACUUACGCUAAUACCGCAUACGACCUACGGGUGAAAGCAGGGGAUCUUCGGACCUUGCGCGAUUGAAUGAGCCGAUGUCGGAUUAGCUAGUUGGCGGGGUAAAGGCCCACCAAGGCGACGAUCCGUAGCUGGUCUGAGAGGAUGAUCAGCCACACUGGAACUGAGACACGGUCCAGACUCCUACGGGAGGCAGCAGUGGGGAAUAUUGGACAAUGGGCGCAAGCCUGAUCCAGCCAUACCGCGUGGGUGAAGAAGGCCUUCGGGUUGUAAAGCCCUUUUGUUUGGAAAGAAAAGCAGCAGGUUAAUACCCCGCUGUUCUGACGGUACCCAAAGAAUAAGCACCGGCUAGCUUCGUG
rnacentral:rRNA from 1 species